CCUACGGGUGGCAGCAGUGGGGAAUAUUGGACAAUGGGCGAAAGCCUGAUCCAGCCAUGCCGCGUGUGUGAAGAAGGCCUUCGGGUUGUAAAGCACUUUCAGUGGGGAAGAAAGCCUUGGGGCUAAUACCCUCGAGGAAGGACAUCACCCACAGAAGAAGCACCGGCUAACUCCGUGCCAGCAGCCGCGGUAAUACGGAGGGUGCGAGCGUUAAUCGGAAUUACUGGGCGUAAAGCGCGCGUAGGCGGUCUGAUAAGCCGGUUGUGAAAGCCCCGGGCUCAACCUGGGAACGGCAUCCGGAACUGUCAGGCUAGAGUGCAGGAGAGGAAGGUAGAAUUCCCGGUGUAGCGGUGAAAUGCGUAGAGAUCGGGAGGAAUACCAGUGGCGAAGGCGGCCUUCUGGACUGACACUGACGCUGAGGUGCGAAAGCAUGGGUAGCAAACAGGAUUAGAUACCCCUGUAGUC
rnacentral:rRNA from 1 species